rnacentral:rRNA from 1 species
GACGAACGCUGGCGGCGUGCUUAACACAUGCAAGUCGAACGGUGAAGCUCCAGCUUGCUGGAGUGGAUCAGUGGCGAACGAGUGAGUAACACGUGAGCAACCUGCCCCAGACUCUGGAAUAAGCGCUGGAAACGGCGUCUAAUACUGGAUACGAGAUCAAGCCGCAUGGUUAUGGUCUGGAAAGUUUUUCGGUUUGGGAUGGGCUCGCGGCCUAUCAGCUUGUUGGUGAGGUAAUGGCUCACCAAGGCGACGACGGGUAGCCGGCCUGAGAGGGCGACCGGCCACACUGGGACUGAGACACGGCCCAGACUCCUACGGGAGGCAGCAGUGGGGAAUAUUGCACAAUGGGCGAAAGCCUGAUGCAGCGACGCCGCGUGAGGGAUGACGGCCUUCGGGUUGUAAACCUCUUUCAGCAGGGAAGAAGCGAAAGUGACGGUACCUGCAGAAGAAGCACCGGCUAACUACGUG